GGAUAAUACGCGAGUGAUAUGACUCUUAGCGGCUUGUGGAAGGUUGGCUCCCUUGCUGCUUGAGAGAAGACAACAUAUUGUGGGAAGGAAAUGGCCCCCGAGGACUAGGGGUAUGAUUAAUAGGGAUAGUUGGGGGCAUUAAUAUUUAAUUGUCAGAGGUGAAAUUCUUGGAUUUAUGAAAGAUUAACUUCUGCGAAAGCAUCUGCCAAGGAUGUUUUCAUUAAUCAAGAACGAAAGUUAGGGGAUCGAAGACGAUCAGAUACCGUCGUAGUCUUAACCAUAAACGAUGCCGACCAGCGAUUAGGAGACGUUGAAUACAAAACACCACCAUCGGUGCGGUCGUCCUUGGCGUCUGGCUUUCGGGGCGGGGGCGGGGACGGCUUACCCCGGUGGCACCGGUGAAUGACUCCCUAAAAGCUUGGGAAAAAAGUAUGUUUCUCUUCCCGGCCCCUUCCUCAAAAACAACCUGCCUAAUCUCCCCCCUCCCCCCCACUUCCAAAUUCCCUGCU
rnacentral:rRNA from 1 species